UCUGCGUACCACUGACUAUUUCUUAGAUUUCCUAAAGUGGAACUCAUAGGGGAAUGCAUAUAAACAUUUUAAAAUCUGUUGAAAUGUACCACCAAAUUCCUUUCCAGAAAGGAUAUCCAACCAUACCCCCACUGCCAGGAACAUAUUUGAGAUCAACUCUGUUUAGCACCUUGUGUACCUGGUCUUAGGAAGCUGUGAGGUCUGGCCCCUGGUCACUGGGAAGAUGAAUGUGCUGUCUGGGCUUUGCAAUUAGAGAUCAGGAAGAGCAAAUCUUGGCUUAGAGAUCAAAGAUAAAGCAGCAGCUCCAUAUUCUAGGCUUACUCACUUAGUAAUCACUGCACACUAAGAUGGAUAAGCCAUUAUCUGUCAUGACAAAAGAAAGGGACCCCUGUAUUAAUGGGGUGAUUUUGAGGUAGUGAUUUGGAGUUGGGGCUCAUAAGUAAGUGCCUAUAUCAUAGAGCCAGUUUAUUCUUCUGACAUCACUGUCUCUAGAAGCUACCUUGAAACUCUUAUUUUCUAUUUUAAAUCUCUCUAAAUCUAUCAUAGGUCAAAGGCUACUGUUCUUUAAUAUGAUCUUGGUGGAAUAAUUUGCCUUGACUCUGGUUAUCCAUUCUUGUAUAAUAUUCUUGGCAUGAAAAUGUAUUGUUCGUCAUCACAGUUUGUAUUUUUACUUGUAUACCCUCAUAUAUUAGAAAGCAAAAGACUUUUCUAGAGCUAUGUCCUACAUUCCUUCUCUCCUGGAGACAAGUGUGAUCUGGGCUAAGGAAGUUGUAUUUUAGAUUCUCUGCCAUGAGAUAACCCUUUCAUCUGUUUUUCUCUGUCAUAGGAAAAAAACCGCAGUGAAGGCCGGCUCCUCAGUCUCUUGGAACAAUCUGAGCACAAGACUGCAGAUGCAGAAAUAAAGACCAAGUCUUCAGAAACAGGAAGCUUCAGGGUGCCCUCACCAGGGAUGGAAGAGGCAGGCUGCAGCAAAGAGAUGCAGAGUUCCCUUCCACAUCUCGACUUAAACGAGUCUCCCAUCAAGUCUUUUGUUUCCAUUUCAGAAGCCACAGAUUGCUUAGUGGACUUUAAAAAGCAACUUACCGUCCGGCCAGGUAGCCGGACACGGACCAAAGCAGGCAGAGGAAGAAGGAGAAAACCCUGAAUUUCUAGGGUCCAGACGUUGACAAAACCAUUAGCAAUAGGGGUGGGCCAUGGUCAUUAAGUCUUAGUGGCCCCUGUUUCAUUGUUGAGCAAGUUUUGGCCCUGCAGUUUUCACCACCAGCAUCCACUCAGCAUUCUCGUUUUGAUGUUUUCUAUAAGCUAUACAGACGAUUGUGUAUAGUAUUCUGUUUUAUAAUAGUCUGAUUCACUUACAGUUAAAAGAAAAUUUAAAUAUAUUUAUGUUUGUAUGAAAUCUUA